rnacentral:sRNA from 1 species
GCUGCCGCAAAAUCGGUGGCCGGGCGUGAGAACCCGAGCUUCUUCAAGGCGACACCAGACGCGCCACGCGUCUUUUUU